rnacentral:rRNA from 1 species
AUUGAACGCUGGCGGCAUGCCUUACACAUGCAAGUCGAACGGUAACAGGUCUUCGGAUGCUGACGAGUGGCGAACGGGUGAGUAAUACAUCGGAACGUGCCUAGUAGUGGGGGAUAACUACUCGAAAGAGUGGCUAAUACCGCAUGAGAUCUACGGAUGAAAGCAGGGGAUCGCAAGACCUUGUGCUUCUAGAGCGGCCGAUGGCAGAUUAGGGAGUUGGUGGGAUAAAGGCUUACCAAGCCGACGAUCUGUAGCUGGUCUGAGAGGACGAUCAGCCACACUGGGACUGAGACACGGCCCAGACUCCUACGGGAGGCAGCAGUGGGGAAUUUUGGACAAUGGGCGAAAGCCUGAUCCAGCAAUGCCGCGUGCAGGAUGAAGGCCUUCGGGUUGUAAACUGCUUUUGUACGGAACGAAAAGCCCCGGGUUAAUACCCUGGGGUCAUGACGGUACCGUAAGAAUAAGCACCGGCUAACUACGUGCCAGCCGCCGCCGUAA